rnacentral:lncRNA from 1 species
GCAUAAAUAAACCCUGGGAGUACAGAUGGGAGGCCGGCUAGGCUGGCUCCACUUCCUGGUCUCAUCACAGGGGAGUCCGUGUGGAAGCCCUGGGAGGCACCUCAGCCAUUUUCCAGGCCAACGACUGCAUUUGUCAGACGAGAAAAGCCAGAGGUUAAGGGACUUGCCAAAAGUCACACAGUGAGUCAACUGAAAAGCAGUAAGAGGUGGUGGCUAAGAGCACAGCAUGACUCCAUUGCCCUUGGCUUUGGCAAGUGACUGAAGUUCUCAGUUUCCUCAUACCAUGAGUGUGAGCGGAGCAGCGACACCACUGUUCACAGGCUUGCUGCGAGGAUGGGAGGCAGCAGCGAGGGGACGGAGCCCUCCCAGCAGUAAACCGCAACUGUGACCCCCUAAUUCAAAGCUCCUCCCCUCGGCGGCAGCGAGGACAACGGCUUUCAGUUUGAAGAAUGCACAAUUUAACAGAUACCUUCUGAGAGGCUGCAUGUGACCAGCUCAGAGCUGAGCGAACACACAAGAACAGACAAGAUGGAUAAAUACCAAGCCAUCGAUCCCCUCUGCUGUUUCCGUCAGUGUCUAGAGCCCUAGAGGAUCACAUGGUGUGGAGGAAAUGUCAGGGGCUCCUCAGACGGACCUGGGUUCAAAUUUGCACUCUGCCACUUACAAGUGGAGCAAGUGCCCCUUGGUACUGGGCCUAAGGCUUCUGAGCUCCCUUCUCGUUCUGUCCCCAGGGGGUUGUGAAUCAGCACUCAGCACAAUCAUAUUAUUUCUACUCAAAAACGAGAGUUUUUCAUCUUAAGAAUUUCUAUGGUGACCCUGUGAAAAGUCGGUGCAGCCAAAAUUGAAAGAACUCCUCAGGUUUGAUGAGUGAGGUUGUUAGGCAUAGAAGUUCUCCUGGUACCGCACAGCAUACAUAAUGGAUAAUACACAGACAUUACAAGACAAUGGCAUACCCACAGUAUUUCAUUAAAUAAAACUGUAUGGCAUAACACUUUAUGCCAGGAAUUGUUAUUCCCAUUGUGCAGAGGAGGAAACCAAAUUGCAGAGAGGGGAAGAGGUCUGGGGGAGGUCACACAGCUGGUUCACAAUGAAGCAGGGUCUCCAUCCCAGAACCUGCAGGAGGGAUGAAUUUGCCAAACGGUGCUGAAGCGAGAAGACCCAGCCCUACCCAGCGUCGCUGUGCCUCUCCUCCUCGGGCCGCCAGGACUCCCCCCACGGUGCUGGUUCCUGGGACUCCCCGAGGUGGGGAGCCAAGGCUGCUGCUGGCCCCCUGAACUGCACGCCUGUCUAAGCUGCCAUGUUGCCCCCGCGUCGAGUUUUGGCAUCUCAUCGUGGAGCAGCAGCCAUUGUGCCCUCACUGUGCCCAUGUCUCCUGCAUCUACACUACUGAGAGGAAACAAAAGAACAAGCAAACAAAAACAGGUGGCUGUUACACUAAGAUGGAGCCAGAGCAUCUCGGGAUGCUGUCCGACACUCCGAGGGCAGCAGAACUCUCGCUGGGUGGCUGAUGGCAGACCCAUUCUCUUGCCUCGAAUGCAGCAGACUGACCGCUUCCAGUUAAGUAAAAAUAUCAAAACCGUAACGUGCAUGAGAGCACCUUGGGAUAAAUGCAUUACGGAGCUGUCAUCACAGCUCUCACUCCACCAGUUCCUGCCGUUCAUGUGCGAUGCACAUGGGGCUCCUUGGCAAUCGGGACCACCGCUUCCUUCCAACACAGGUGAUCCGCUUCCUGGGCCGACCUCCGGGUCCUGCCACGACCCUCCCACAGUAGCCAUUUACUCGUUCUACCACUGGUUUUUUGCGUUUUGUUUUGUUUUGUUUUGCACGGAAUUAAUCACCUAUUUUCUACCAACUCGCCAGGCAAACGGGAUCUUUCACUUCCCUCAGUGCUUCUGUAACAGGAGGGGGUUUGAAUGAGAUGGGUGUUUUCCAAACUGGGCUGCUGGGGAGAGCUCUGAGCACUUCAAGGGGCUCACUAGGGGCUGCCGUAAGAAGGGAGUGCCCCGAAGGAGAGACUCUGGGUCCCUGAGCCUAUUGUUUCUGUUUUACAUUUUAGAACCCCACCUGAAAUUUUGUUUCAACAAAGGGUUUGGUGGCCAAAAACCCAUUCAGGAAUUAAAUAAUUAAAUACAUAAAUCAAUUACAUAAAGCUGCUGAGCCACGUGGUUUCUCAGGUCCUGUGCUGUGUUUCUCAGGUCCUGUGCUGUCCCACUCCGCAUGAUCAGCAGUGGACGAUCACAAUGGGAAUGGCCGAAUGAACAGGAGAACAUGCAGCCUGCAGUCUCUGGUAUGUGCCAGGGACACAGAGAUAACGGGAAAUGACGAAUGAGGCCAAAGCCAGCUAAAGAUGGGACUCCAGUUUGGCAUGUAACUGAGAAUUCUCCUCUGCUCUUGCACAAUGACAGACAAGGUCUCGUGGCCUUGAGGUGGGUCUGGGAAGGGGGUGAAUCUGGCUGGGCAGCUGGGGGCCAGAGUCUAAUUGAGUCCCCUGCUUUACCACCGAGAUCCUGAUGUCCUUGGUCCUCAGCUCCUGAGUGAUUCUUUCUAUAUCCCAGUGAUAACCAGCAUGACGUGACAGGUAGGGGGGAGGGGACACCCAAAACUCAUUGAUGAGUUCUGGCCACAAAGAAACUUCUGCAAAUGGAAAGAACCAUUACACACUUGCACACACACACACACACACGGGCUAUUCAUUUUAGAAAAAUCAUGGUCUAUUUGAUGACGGCUUAUGUUUCUUUCUAAAUUGAGUUCAAACUGGCAUAAAAACAUGUAUUUUGCUUUGUCCUUUGGCCUCUCUUCUUCUCAUUAUCUGAUAUUCUUUUGAGGAUCAGAUGCACGUCUAUCACAGGGAACAGGAACACCGAGGACAGGCAGCAAACAGCUUGGAGUGGUUACAAGGAUGAGCUUCCAGAGUCACGGGGCACGGGGCACCCAAGGCCUCGGGCACGUGGCAGAGCACAUUUGUUCCUUAAAGUCGGUAGGAUCCAGUCUGUGUUUUGAUAACAUUGCUCUGAAGGAGGCUCCGUCCCUUCUAAGUCAUGCCCUGGAGCUUAGUCCAUCAUAUGGCUCCUCUUAUUUUAUUCACAGCACUUAUUCUUACCUUUACCUCAUUGUCGAUUUGCUUAUAAUCUCUCUCCUCUAGAAGAAAGAGAGUUUGACAAGAGCAGCCACCUUAUCUGUCUUGUUCACCCACGUUUUCCCAGCUUAGAGCAGUGCCUGCCAUAGUGCAGGCACUUGACAAAUAUCUAUUGAAUGAAUGAAUGAAUGAAUGGCCCUCAGCCUUGCCUUCUUACUUAACACAAGCCUGGGGCAACCACGAUGCAGCCGAGGUGUACCAUCAGGAGAUCCAGUCUGCUGCCCCAGGAAAACCCCUAAAAUGGACUUUCCAUACCCACACCACAACAUGGAUGUCAUCUCCCCCAAACAGGAUAGCUUCGAGCGUGCAUUCAGUUCACGCAGGUGAAAAGUUCCCACGUGUUUUCUGGCACGUGGCAGGAGUUUGCCCAGGCAUUGCUGAAUCCAACACAGCUUUUAUCAUUUCCCCCAUUUCAGAGAAGAAAAGACUGAGGCUCAGAGGUGGACAGAAGUGGUAAAGCCAUGACUCAUGCCCCUAUCUUCUGAUUCUCCGAUCACAGCUCUUUCUGCCUCUUUAUGCCAUUUUUCUAGAACAAUCUCCCACACACACACUCAGUGCAUGUUAGUGGUUUAAGCUUACAUUUUUUAAUUUAAAAAAAUUUAAUUUAACAUUUUCCCCAAACAAACGCUUCAUUUUUCUUCUCAGCCAAGGCGUAUUCCCAAGUAAAGGCUUCAGAUAGACAGAUGGAAAGAGGGACAAGGGUCAUUUUCUACAGAGGGCAAUCUUUCUGGCAGGUCUUAGGGGGCAAACCCUGAACCCAGGCAUGCGGUGGACCCGGGGGACUCCCCCAGUCCUCCUCUCCCUCCUUUCCCCUGGAAGGGCAGCUGGGUCCUCUGGGCAAGCUGCAGAGCAAGGACCCUCCUCCCUCUUAGCUUCCCUCUCAAGCCUCAGUGGGAUGGGGACAAACGAUUUCUCUUGCAGGCGAAGAUCGGGCAGAGGUUUCUGGGCUGUGCCAAGCCACGGUUUUGUUUUACCUCGUGAUGAGGAACAGCUGUGUCCCAAAGGGGCGGCACCUCGCCGCCUCCGCAGUGUUUUGAUAAGAGGCGCGGGGUUGGCGAGUGUGGACGAGAUGAGGAAUCGCGUUUCUCGCAACAGUCCUCGCGCUCCAGGUCACGAGCUAAUCUCCUUUGGGAAACCGAGACCAGAGAUGGGCCUCCCUCUCUCCCUGCUAUCUCAGGGUAUUUUCUGUCACCAUGGAGAAUGGUAGAGGCUGGAAAAGGUCAAAAGGACACGGCCUACGAGCUGAGGCGGCAGAGCAGUGAAGCCUGUUGGAAAGUGCCAGCAUCCAAGAGGAGGAUGGUGAGAACCGUAGAGCCGGGUGCCGGGUCAGUCGGAUGGACACGGGUUCCAAGGCCACCUCUGUGCCGCCAGCUGUGGAUGUCCGAGUCUCAGUUUCCAUAUCCGUACCUAAAGGGCUGGUAGGAGUGAACGAGUUGGGCUGUGCAGGGCCCUUUGGUGUUUCAGGCGAUGUGAGUUGAAGAAGGAAUGAGCGCUUGGUCUUCAGAAGGGGCAGAGACGAGCCGCCAGGUCGGGUCAGAGUCACGGUUAACAAGCUCUCGGCUCCUCACUCCGUCGCUGUUUGGUUUUCACUGCGUCGCGAUUUUGCAGCUUUCCCACUCGGACCACCAACUUUCCUGAGCGUUUAGCCUUCUCUGCCGGCUGCCGUCCCCUCCCUCUCAGAGUCCCCCACCCCCAUCCGCAUCUACUUGAUGAUGACAGGAAUCGCCAGGGGCACCAGGCAGCUCAGAAGUAUACUCCAGGACAUGGCUGUCACACUUUUCUUUUUUCCUAAGACCCACAGUAAGAAAUAUAUUAAUAAAUUUUGCAUUGCAAAUCAACCCACACAUACAUAUAAAUGACUGAUUAAAGAAAUUUCAUGAAACACUCCCCGUCCUUCUUAUCUGCACUCUAUUAUUUUCUUUUCCAUUCCACUUCAUUCCAUUCUAUUCUACUUUAUUUUGCCUUUGAAAGUGCUGGUUACCACCCAGUAAUCUAGUUCAUUAACCAGCUGCCAGUUUGAGAAACACUGGUUUCCGGUGGGACUGCCAUGCCGUUCUCUCUGUCCAGUUGUGGACUGUAUCAGUGGCCCUAGAAACCUGUGUUCCAAUUCACAGCCUAAGAAUCAUCAGGGGCCUUGAUAAAUGUACAAAUUUCCAGGCUCCAUCCCCAGAGAUUUGACAGCGUUUCAGAGACUGGUCAGAACCAGAGUGUCUCGUGGGGUCUCCCUGGCACUGAGAUGGAGAUUCUGAUUCCAGGGAGAAAGCUUCUGAUUGGUCUAGAUGGGUCAGAGAAGGAAGAUGCCUUGAUGGGCAGUCCCACCAACACUGUAUCCCUUGGGGUGGGUAGCUCCCCAAAGUAAGUAGAAGAAAGGGUGAUGGAUGCUGCCAGGGACUGUUUGUGUCGCCCCAAAAUUCAUAUGUUGAAAUUCUGACCCCGAAUGUGAUGGUAUCUGGAGGUGGGGCCUUUGGGUUGAUUAGGUCAUGAGGUAGAACCCUCAUGAAUGGGAUUAGUGCCCUUAUUAGGAGACGCCAGAGAGCUCUCUUGUCCCUUCUGCCAUGUGAGGACACAGGGAAAAGAUGACUAUUUAUAAACCAGGAAGCAGGUCUGACUAGACUCUGAAGCUGCCAGUGCCCUGAUGUGGGACUUCCCAGCCUCAAGAACUGUGAGAAAUAAAAGUCUGUCGUUUAAUAAGCCACCCAGUCUAUGGUAUUCUGUUUUAACAGCCCAAACAGACUAAGACGCUGAGCAGGCAACAUCAAUGUCCACACAGAGACUGUUCUAGAAC